GGGCCCGCACAAGCGGAGGAACAUGUGGUUUAAUUCGAUGAUACGCGAGGAACCUUACCCGGGUUUGAACGCAUUCGGACAGGGGCGGAAACGUCCUCUUCAGCAAUGACCGUUUGCGAGGUGCUGCAUGGUUGUCGUCAGCUCGUGCCGUGAGGUGUCGGCUUAAGUGCCAUAACGAGCGCAACCCCUAUUGCCAGUUGCCAUCGAGUAAAGUCGGGGACUUUGGCAAGACUGCCGGCGUAAGCUGCGAGGAAGGCGGGGAUGACGUCAAAUCAGCACGGCCCUUACAUCCGGGGCGACACACGUGUUACAAUGGCAGGGACAAAGGGCAGCCACCCGGCGACGGGGCGCUAAUCCCAAAACCCUGUCUCAGUUCGGAUCGGAGUCUGCAACUCGACUCCGUGAAGCCGGAUUCGCUAGUAAUCGCGCAUCAGCACGGCGCGGUGAAUACG
rnacentral:rRNA from 1 species